rnacentral:piRNA from 1 species
UGUUCCUACUAUGCCUAAGAAGAGAUG